AGCGAACGCUGGCGGCAGGCCUAACACAUGCAAGUCGAACGAACCUUUCGGGGUUAGUGGCGGACGGGUGAGUAACACGUGGGAACGUGCCUUUAGGUUCGGAAUAACUCAGGGAAACUUGUGCUAAUACCGAAUGUGCCCUUCGGGGGAAAGAUUAAUCGCCUUUAGAGCGGCCCGCGUCUGAUUAGCUAGUUGGUUGAGGUAAUGGCUCACCAAGGCGACGAUCAGUAGCUGGUCUGAGAGGAUGAUCAGCCACAUUGGGACUGAGACACGGCCCAAACUCCUACGGGAGGCAGCAGUGGGGAAUCUUGCGCAAUGGGCGAAAGCCUGACGCAGCCAUGCUGCGUGAAUGAUGAAGGUCUUAGGAUUGUAAAAUUCUUUCACCGGGGACGAUAAUGACGGUACCCGGAGAAGAAGCCCCGGCUAACUUCGU
rnacentral:rRNA from 1 species